UACGAAGGGGGCUAGCGUUGCUCGGAAUCACUGGGCGUAAAGGGUGCGUAGGCGGGUUUUUAAGUCAGGGGUGAAAUCCUGGAGCUCAACUCCAGAACUGCCUUUGAUACUGAAGAUCUUGAGUCCGGGAGAGGUGAGUGGAACUGCGAGUGUAGAGGUGAAAUUCGUAGAUAUCAGGAGGAACACCGGUGGCGAAGGCGGCUUUCUGGACGACAACUGACGCUGAGACGCGAAAGCGUGGGUAGCAAACAGG
rnacentral:rRNA from 1 species